GAAGGUAUAGCUCAAGUGGUAGAGCACAUGCUUAGCAUACACAAGGUCCUGGGUUCAAUCCCCAGUACCUCCU
rnacentral:tRNA from 1 species